rnacentral:piRNA from 1 species
UGCCACCUGCUGUCAGCUGCCACUGU